UCUUCUUGGCAGAGUCUGUGUUAAGUGAUGUAAGAGAUGGCUUUUCAGCUCUUAUUUCUGUGCCUUUGAGGAUAUAUUGUUGCUAUUUGCUUUCUUAAGCAGAGAUCUGAGCCUCAGAGGGCAUGAUACAAAAAAAGCAGAUAAUCAAAUAACUGAUUUCCUUGCCUGCUUUCCUUGAAGUGUCCAAAAGUGAGAUGCUGGGCUAGAGGCAAACACUGAUAUAUUUACAAGGAGCUGAGAAGAAAAGUGUUUAUUAGUGUCCCUUUGGGUCUGCUCUCCAUGUGGCCACCUUCAUAUUUGCUGCUGCACCACCACGUACAGAAAUGGAAAAUGAAUACCACAAGACACUGCUGGAAAAUCCCGAAAUAUUCAAUGCAGAUCUUCAGAAUUUUUCUCUCUGGGGAUCACUGACUUCAAACCAUGAAGAAAGGGAGAAACGACAUCAUACUAUUUCCAUUAAAAGCAGCCAUGUGUAACCUAUAUUUUUUCCUUUCCUCUUCCCCCCCACCCCAUUUCCCAAUAAUAUUUGCAUUCCAAAAAACUUCAUCUCUUUCUUUUAAUGCAUUGAGGUUAAGCAAAUGAGGUUGCUGCUGACAAUGUUGUUCAUACCACUUGCGUGCUCCUUGUUUUAAGCCAGCACAAGAAAAACUGCUACGUCUGUGUGAAACUCAUUAGAAAACAAAACAUUCUGUCUUUCUUCAUUUGGCCUGCUCCUUCUUGUUUACCAUAAUUAAGUUAUGAGAAAAUCAUCUUACACACUAGGAAUACAAAAUUCUCUGAGUCUUGUAAAUGCAUAAGCUAGAACUGACUUGAUUUCUUUGAAUGGUCCCACAUGCUGUAUUUUCAGAAAACUCUUGCAUAUGAACAGUCAGAAAAGAAAUAAGAAUAAAUGAUUCAGAGAAAAUAGAAGAAAUCUGGAGAAAGGGGAAUAAUUACUAUAAGGCAAAGGUUUCAUCUGACUUUUAAUAGCAUGAAGAAAUAUAAAAUUAAUAAAGAACAGACAGUAUAACACAAGGAAUACAAAAGAAAAAGCAACAUAGUCCCAUGGAAGAUUUUUUUUUGGUUCAGUAAGACUGACUCAAGAAGCUGACUUUGGAUUUAUCACUAGUAGAUUUAUAAAAUAACUGUAGGAAGAGUGUAGAGAAGAGAGAUAAAAGCUGAGUGUGAGACAGACUAAAAAAUGAAAGAGAAAGCAGCACUUACCAUUCACAUAUUGUUCUUUAGAUGUCCAAAGCAGUGUACAGACAUAACUCCUGUAUAAUAUCUGUUCAAGGCAAAUAGGUUUUUAAUUCUCUUUUUACCAGUAGUGACCCCAUAAUAGGAUGAGACCACUUGAGUCUCAUUCUUCUGUUCAUCUCCCCAGAUGAUAAGACUACUAAUCAAAAGACCUGUGUAAGCAUACUGUGUAAUGCACAUUUUCUAUUUUCCACAGUCAAAUCACAGCAAUUACAGGGGCCAUGCUUUAUUGAUCUCUAUAAUGUAAUCUAUAUAUAUAAAAAAAAAGAUAAUGAGAUAAUGGCAUAAAAAUCUUAAAAAGUCAGAAAAAGUAAAAUAUAAAUUAAGAAUUACAUAUUUUGUAAAUUAAAGACAAUGUG